CCUACGGGGGGCAGCAGUGAGGAAUAUUGGUCAAUGGACGAGAGUCUGAACCAGCCAAGUAGCGUGAAGGAUGACUGCCCUAUGGGUUGUAAACUUCUUUUAUAAAGGAAUAAAACGAGGCACGUGUGCCUUUUUGCAUGUACUUUAUGAAUAAGGCUCGGCUAACUCCGUGCCAGCAGCCGCGGUCAUACGGAGGAUCCGAGCGUUAUCCGGAUUUAUUGGGUUUAAAGGGAGCGUAGAUGGGUUGUUAAGUCAGUUGUGAAAGUUUGCGGCUCAACCGUAAAAUUGCAAUUGAUACUGGCAGUCUUGAGUACAGUUGAGGUAGGCGGAAUUCGUGGUGUAGCGGUGAAAUGCUUAGAUAUCACGAAGAACCCCGAUUGCGAAGGCAGCUUACUAAACUGUGACUGACAUUGAUGCUCGAAAGUGUGGGUAGCAAACAGGAUUAGAUACCCCUGUAGUC
rnacentral:rRNA from 1 species